CGACGGUCUGCGCAUGCGCCUUGCCGGAAGCAGCGGGGACUGCUCAGCGGAUGGGUUACAAGUAAGAACGUAAACGAAGGAGUUUGUAAAGUGUGAAGCAACUCCUUGCGUGAGGGAACCGUGAGAGACCGGAAUCUUAUAAUUUGAGUUCCUUGGUGAAAACUGCAGAACCACAGCUAAUGAUUGCUGAAGAGAGGCUUGACACUUCCCUCAGCUCAGUUUAGCAAACCUAUGUGAGCUCUACAUGGACAUCUUCAGUACCUCCUCUUUGGGACCUGCUUCCCACUUACACACCCGUGGUCAUUAAACAGUCUGGCUUCAGUUUUCGGCCACAUCUGGCAAACUCUAGAAAACUUCUCAGGAAAACAUCAAAGAAGAAUUCAUAAGUCCUUGAAGACUAAACUAUAUCAUGGAUCCCAGCAGGAUAAAUGGGAACUUUGACAAGAAUGGAGAAUGUGGGACCUCAAAGGUGAUCUGAGAACCAUCUCUUUGAAAUGUGAUCAUCAAGGAAGAUAGUGCCCCCAUCUCCCAGUUUCUGUGGGCAGCUAAGAGCCCAACCUUGGACAUGUUGCAAAACUACCUCAUUAUAAAGUUGCCUACCUUCCUGGGAUGAUAAACAGAGAUGAACUCCUACUACAACUUCUCCUUUGCCGUUUGAGAGAUUUUGAACUUAUGAAGAGAAUCUAUCCAUCAUCCUUAUGUGAGGAAGAAACUAUUGGUUACUUGGGACAAGACUUCUUGAAAUGAAAUAGUAUAAUACGGCAAAGCCCCAGAGAAGAGGUUUCACUGAAAAAAGUUAAACUGAUCUCUGGCAUCAGAGAUGAAAGCUGAUGUGAAAUGAGCAUGUUUGAAGCUCUUCCUAAGGGGCUGCAGAUGUUUGCAUGCAACCUGCUGCACAUGGGUGUAAGAAAGACCUACUUGGCCCUCCAGACCUAGUAGAUUUGCAGCGGGGACACACUGGGGUGAAGUGGUCUGUGUGACUGCCUGUGUGCUGACUGCAAAGGGAAGGCCUGAGAGGUGCCUCUGUGUCUCAGCAGAGAGCUAAGAGUUCGCCUGACCAACUAGAACAAAAGCAUGUGGCCCCCUCCACUUGUCGGUUUGCCGCUGCUUGAGAGGCCCCGACAGUCCAACCUGUAUGAGUGCUGUGGGAUCCCAAAUUGUGAAUAAGCAAAAGAAAAGUAGCAAUCAUAAUCAAAGUAACUUGAGGGAUGAAGACCAAGUCAGAAACCUACACAAGUGGGACCUGCUGAGGCAGAAGUGAUGAAAGAAGCAGAGGAGAAUUUCCAGAAAAAUAUUAAUAACAUUCAAAGAGAGGCACUUAUACUCAACCCUUCCUCCAAAAUCCUUCAGGAAUCAGAAAAUAUGAAUUCCAAAUUAAAAUAAAUCAUUAUACAAACAAACGAAAAAAGACUAUGAUUACUGUUGAGGAAGAAAUGUCACCAAUGUGAAAGAAAUAUGAAGUAUGAAAAUCAUGAGUAAAGAACUUUAGAGCAGAAUCUCCCAACUGUUGGUCUUUGCCACAUUGUGGAGCAGCUGAUGGGGUACACAUGUGCUGAAAUAUUGACUCCCCACAAGCAGUGGGUCAGCUGUGAUGGGCCUCUGGUGGCUCAGGUGCCCAGACUGCUACCAUGAGCAGCCUACUUCAUUUGCCACUGCUGCUGUGAAAAAGAAAUGAAAGAGGUUGGGAGCUCUGCUUUAGAAGCUAGAUCCAGAGAGCACCUGUGUGAAUAACUGAAGUUCUAAAAGGAGAACAGAAACAUAGAGGAGAAAUAAUAAAGAAAAA
ensembl:lncRNA